rnacentral:rRNA from 1 species
AGGGAAUAUUGGGCAAUGGGCGAGAGCCUGACCCAGCCAUGCCGCGUGCAGGAAGAAGGCUUUCUGAGUCGUAAACUGCUUUUGACAGGGAAGAAUAAGCUGGACGUGUCCAGUGAUGACGGUACCUGCAGAAUAAGCACCGGCUAACUCCGUGCCAGCAGCCGCGGUAAUACGGAGGGUGCGAGCGUUGUCCGGAUUUAUUGGGUUUAAAGGGUGCGUAGGCGGCCGUUUAAGUCUGGGGUGAAAGCCCGCUGCUCAACAGCGGAACUGCCCUGGAUACUGGAUGGCUUGAGUACAGACGAGGUUGGCGGAAUGGACGGAGUAGCGGUGAAAUGCAUAGAUACCGUCCAGAACCCCGAUUGCGAAGGCAGCUGACUAGGCUGUUACUGACGCUGAGGCACGAAAGCGUGGGGAGCGAAC